rnacentral:lncRNA from 1 species
GUGGAAAAAAGAAAUAAAUGUAUUUAGUUCUUCCCUUAUUAAUGACCUCUUUUUUCAGCUAAUACCUACUUUUGCCUCUUCUUAGCUAACAGUUACUUUUGCCUCUUAGCUAACCACAUGAAAGUGUUGCAGAGAGAGAAGCUGGGGCAGACCCCUACUGAAAAAGGAAGGAGCUCUGCUGAUCCUGUAAGGCUGGAUAGAAGAAAUCAGAGCCUUCUCUGCAUCCGAAGCAGGCAGUCGCAGGAGUGAAUGCCACCUUGCAAGCCUGGCCACUGUUCAGGACCAUGAAGAUUCAGCCCGUAUCCUCACAAUGUAGACACCAGAGCACUCUGCUGAUCCUGUAAGGCUGGAUAGAAGGAAUACGAGCCUUCUCUGCCUCCAAAGCAGGCAGUCACAGGAGUGAAUGCCACCUUGGAAGCAUGGCCACUGUUCAUGACCAUAAAGAUUUAACCCGGAUCCUCACAAUGUAGACACCAGAGCACCAGAGGCAUCAGGGCUCGAAUUAACCCUCCAACCCCGGAAAGAUGCAUGAAGAGACUCCUUAAAGGAGUCCCUCUCUUCUUUCAUGUAGCUAGCUAUUUUCCCAGUGGUGAAAAUUUGGCAGAAUCUGAGGCUGUUCUGAUAAGUCCCCACCCCUCCUUCCAGCUCAUGGAACCCUAGAGGGAUUCCUUCCUCCUAAUUGCAUCUAUUCAUUCUCUGCACAGGAAUCCACAUUGUGAUUUCUAAACAUUGAGCUGGGAGACCCAGGCUCAGUCAGGACUCUACAGGGGCCAGAGGGCUGACUGUGAUUUUUGUAGUAUGUUCCCUGUCCGAAGUGCCAGGACUUCUUAAAUUUAAAAAUCCUUUGCUUUUUUUAUGGAGAGCAUGGAAAAAAGGGAAGCUCCGAAGCAAACUCCCAAAGCUAAGAUCCUAGUCAGUUCUGGGCUCAGCUACCCUUUCAAAUUUGUGUCACAGGGGAUCUGAAAAACGCUAGUCCAGCAAAUCCCAGGAGGUCACAGGCUCUUGCCUACUUUUUGGGUUCUAUUGGGUUGGACCCAAGCAAACUAUAACGAUUAAAGCCGGUUAUCUGGAACCAGAUUUAGACUUAAGGGCU